GAAUCCCGUCUUUGACACGGACUACUAGUGCUUAUGUGAUGCGCUCUCAAAGAGUCGAGUUGUUUGGGAAUGCAGCUCAAAAUGGGUGGUAAAUUCCAUCUAAAGCUAAAUAUUGGCGAGAGACCGAUAGCGAACAAGUACCGUGAGGGAAAGAUGAAAAGAACUUUGGAAAGAGAGUUAAACAGUACGUGAAAUUGCUGAAAGGGAAACGCUUGAAGUCAGUCGCGUCGGCUAGAAAUCAACCUUGCUUUUGCUUGGUGUAUUUUCUUGUUGAUGGGUCAGCAUCAAUUUUGACCGUUGGACAAAGUCAUUGGGAAUGUGGCAUCUUAGGAUGUGUUAUAGCCCAUUGUCGCAUACAGCGGUUGGGAUUGAGGAACUCAGCACGCCCGCAAGGGACGGGUUUCGACCACGUUCGUGCUUAGGAUGCUGGCAUAAUGGCUUUAAUCGACCCGUCUUGAAACACGGACCAAGGAGUCUAACAUGCCUGCGAGUGUUUGGGUGGAAAACCCAUGCGCGCAAUGAAAGUGAAAGUUGAGAUCCCCUCCAGGGGAGCAUUGACGCCCGGACCAGACCUUCUGUGACGGAUCCGCGGUAGAGCAUGUAUGUUGGGACCCGAAAGAUGGUGAACUAUGCCUGAAUAGGGUGAAGCCAGAGGAAACUCUGGUGGAGGCUCGUAGCGAUUCUGACGUGCAAAUCGAUCGUCAAAUUUGGGUAUAGGGGCGAAAGACUAAUCGAACCAUCUAGUAGCUGGUUCCUGCC
rnacentral:rRNA from 1 species